rnacentral:miRNA from 1 species
CUUUAAAUAUAAACAUGUCACAUGAAAUAUUUGGGACAUACUUAUACUAAAA